CUGAGAGCGCCGUGAGGCGGUCUGACCGCGGAGCAGAAGUCAGCAGAGGGCAUAUUAGGUCAUGUCGUCGGCAAGGCUAGUGAGGCACUCCGUGCCGAAAGGC
rfam:Bradyrhizobium erythrophlei strain GAS478 genome assembly, contig: Ga0132009_12